UUGGUAGACUUGAACAAGAUGAAUUACACUAAUGAACCAUUUAUCAUGGCUAGUCAAGCAAGACAAAUAUUCUACGUAAAUGAUCCAACGAAUAAAAAAUGGUCAGUGGUUUUAGAAGGAAAAAACAUGCAAGGAUAUGAUGAUGAAGAUUCUCUUGAUAUACUUGAGACAACAUAUGUUGCAUCAAGACUCAUUGAAGACUCAGUUGAUGACGUUGUCGAUGACAUCCAGGCAAUUCGUAGUGAUCACAAUGAAGGGAUCUGGGAGAAAACAAUAUCUUAAUAGGUAUGUCGGCCUCAGACUCAGGAUCAGGACAGACCAGACGUGGUCGAGGCGUCACACGAUUGCCAUAUGUGACAUCCGGACGCGUUGAUGGGCAGAGGAAACAUGUUGACAUUGACCCUAGAUCAAGUCAGGCAUCAGGGCCAAAUGUUGAUAGUUUUAGGAGUUAUCUGGGUAAGUUAGCAAAAAGUCAUGUCUUUAUCCUUCAUGCAUCUUGGGAUGACGUCCCAAAGGUCGAGAAGAACCUCUUAUGGCAAGAUAUUCAGGUAUGUUUACUUAAAAGAAUUUUGAUAUACUUAUUUCUUUUAUCUUAUUAUGUCAUUAACAUGUUUUUUGUUUUAAACAACAACAUUAUGAUAUUCCAAACACAAUACAUAUUAGAAAGAAAGUGUUAUCGCAUAUAACGAUAAGAUGAAGGGAUUUCAAGACAAGGCUGACACGACUAUAUGUCUUUGGAGACAAACAACAUGAAAAUCCAUGUCAGCAUUAUACCUUCACAGAGGAGGAAUGGAUACAAUUUCGUGCAUCUAGAGAGUCUGAGGAAUGGAAGGGUAAAAGGUUAGCCACCCAAGAAAGGCAAAGGCUAAACGAUGCACCAUACUUGUUAUCACGAGGUGGUUAUGCAAAACUGGAAAAGAAAAUUAGAAAGUCUCGAGCGAAUGCCUUGGGGCUUGAGUCCCCGGACCUAGCACCUGCACCUGCUAGGUACAAGCUUUGGAGGCUGCUCGAACUAAAUCUGAUGGGAACAUGACAUC